CAAAUCGAAGAGGAGCAACCAACAUUAGUAGCGGUUAGGAGUUUUUACCGGACAGUGAAUAAUCGUGAAAGGGGCGGCUGCCGAAGCGGUAAGGAUGGUAAUAACUUACUUGGCUGGGGCGUAACUAAAAAAGUUGCGGACUGUCGCAAGACAAGAAGAGCUUGCGGUGCGCUAUCGACUAU
rfam:Lactobacillus coleohominis DSM 14060 Scaffold396, whole genome shotgun sequence.